ensembl:ncRNA F02E8.9 ncRNA
AGUAAAGUUACUGUUCAAGCACCUUUUCUAUUUACACUGGUUUAUUGAUUAUUGGAAACUACGAUUAUUGAGACUAUAUUUGAGGUUAUAGUCAUAGCCAUCAUUUUUUAAUCUUGUUUUAUUAUAUUUGCACAAGAC